rnacentral:rRNA from 1 species
GACGAACGCUGGCGGCGUGCCUAAUACAUGCAAGUUGAGCGCUGAAGGUUGGUACUUGUACCAACUGGAUGAGCAGCGAACGGGUGAGUAACGCGUGGGGAAUCUGCCUUUGAGCGGGGGACAACAUUUGGAAACGAAUGCUAAUACCGCAUAAAAACUUUAAACACAAGUUUUAAGUUUGAAAGAUGCAAUUGCAUCACUCAAAGAUGAUCCCGCGUUGUAUUAGCUAGUUGGUGAGGUAAAGGCUCACCAAGGCGAUGAUACAUAGCCGACCUGAGAGGGUGAUCGGCCACAUUGGGACUGAGACACGGCCCAAACUCCUACGGGAGGCAGCAGUAGGGAAUCUUCGGCAAUGGACGAAAGUCUGACCGAGCAACGCCGCGUGAGUGAAGAAGGUUGUCGGAUCGUAAAACUCUGUUGGUAGAGAAGAACGUUGGUGAGAGUGGAAAGCUCAUAAAGUGACGGUAACUACCCAGAAAGGGACGGCUAACUACGUG